rnacentral:rRNA from 1 species
GAACGCUGGCGGCGUGCCUAACACAUGCAAGUCGAACGGACGUUACUCGCUGCAGAGACUCGGUCUAAAGCUGAGUAAGUAGUGGCGGACGGGUGAGUAACGCGUGGGCAACCUGCCUCAUACUGGGGGAGUAACAGUUGGAAACGACUCGUUAAUACCGCAUAAGCGCACAGUGUCGCAUGACACAGUGUGAAAAAACUCCGGUGGUAUGAGAUGGGCCCGCGUCAGAUUAGCUAGUUGGCGGGGUAACGGCCCACCAAGGCGACGAUCUGUAGCCGGACUGAGAGGUCGGACGGCCACAUUGGGACUGAGACACGGCCCAAACUCCUACGGGAGGCAGCAGUGGGGGAUAUUGCACAAUGGAGGAAACUCUGAUGCAGCGACGCCGCGUGAAGUGAAGAAGUAUUUCGGUAUGUAAAGCUCUAUCACCAGGGAAGAAAGGCUCGCAAGAGAGAUGACGGUACCUGACUAAGAAGCCCCGGCUAACUACGUGCCAGCAGCAGC